UUGAAUGUAAAUUGAUUUAUGUUUGGAUACAUUCAUGUAAAAUUGAUUCUUAUCAAUCUAUGUUGUUUGGAUAG
rnacentral:pre_miRNA from 1 species